rnacentral:rRNA from 1 species
AGAGUUUGAUCCUGGCUCAGGACGAACGCUGGCGGCGUGCCUAAUACAUGCAAGUCGAGCGAGCUUGCCUAGAUGAUUUUAGUGCUUGCACUAAACGAAACUAGAUACAAGCGAGCGGCGGACGGGUGAGUAACACGUGGGUAACCUGCCCAAGAGACUGGGAUAACACCUGGAAACAGAUGCUAAUACCGGAUAACAACACUAGACGCAUGUCUAGAGUUUGAAAGAUGGUUCUGCUAUCACUCUUGGAUGGACCUGCGGUGCAUUAGCUAGUUGGUAAGGUAACGGCUUACCAAGGCAAUGAUGCAUAGCCGAGUUGAGAGACUGAUCGGCCACAUUGGGACUGAGACACGGCCCAAACUCCUACGGGAGGCAGCAGUAGGGAAUCUUCCACAAUGGACGAAAGUCUGAUGGAGCAACGCCGCGUGAGUGAAGAAGGGUUUCGGCUCGUAAAGCUCUGUUGGUAGUGAAGAAAGAUAGAGGUAGUAACUGGCCUUUAUUUGACGGUAAUUACUUAGAAAGUCACGGCUAACUACGUGCCAGCAGCCGCGGUAAUACGUAGGUGGCAAGCGUUGUCCGGAUUUAUUGGGCGUAAAGCGAGUGCAGGCGGUUCAAUAAGUCUGAUGUGAAAGCCUUCGGCUCAACCGGAGAAUUGCAUCAGAAACUGUUGAACUUGAGUGCAGAAGAGGAGAGUGGAACUCCAUGUGUAGCGGUGGAAUGCGUAGAUAUAUGGAAGAACACCAGUGGCGAAGGCGGCUCUCUGGUCUGCAACUGACGCUGAGGCUCGAAAGCAUGGGUAGCGAACAGGAUUAGAUACCCUGGUAGUCCAUGCCGUAAACGAUG